rnacentral:rRNA from 1 species
GUCCUAGCCGUAAACGGUGAUCACUAGGUGUUGGAGGCAUCGACCCCUCCAGUGCCGCAGCUAACGCAUUAAGUGAUCCGCCUGGGGAGUACGGCCGCAAGGUUGAAACUCAAAGGAAUUGACGGGGGCCCGCACAAGCGGUGGAGCAUGUGGUUUAAUUCGACGCAACGCGAAGAACCUUACCCAGUCUUGACAUGUAUUGGACAGGUGUGGAAACACACCCUUCCUUCGGGACCAAUGCACAGGUGCUGCAUGGCUGUCGU